CUAUAUGAUAAAGCAUUCAGUUUCUAGAGUGUUUGAAUAUCUUUUGGAUUAUGAAAGUAACUGCAUAAUGAGUUUAUCACAAGAAGAGCGUGAUAAUGUACAAAUUAUUUGCAAAGUAGGAGGUGAUGGUCAAAGUGAUCAAUCGGAGUUUCAAAAUUCAGCAACUAUGAAAAGAGGUGUAGAUGAUCGCUCUGUGUAUAGUAUAGUGUUUGUACUGCUGGAGAUCCGAAGUGGAGAAAAAAUAAUAUGGAAAAAUUUAAUUCCAAAUAGUCCAGAUGCAACCCGUCAUCUUUUUUGUUUUGCAAAAGAGACUGCUAGUUUUAUUCAGGAAAAAUUUGAACAUUUGAAAAAUUAAAUUUUUUUAUUGAAGAAUAUUGAAUUUAAACUUGGUGAAAGUACUUUUGUAGUAAAGUCUAGUUUGUCAACUAUUUAUACCACAAUGAAUGAUGGCAAAACACUAAACGCUGUUGUAUCAAAUAUGCUUAAAAAAAGAAUUUCAUCUCAGUCCUACCAUGUAUGCUUUGCAAAUUCUAAGGAGUUUAACUUGAAAACUAUUUGUAAAAAAAAUAUUAACUUAAACAAGCAUGUUUUGAAACUUGGAAUUUGCAGUCUUCAUCUAUGGAUUUAUUGAAAACAAAAAAAAAUUCCAGCAUUUAUUCAAGAUAAAACUGAAUAUAAGGGUUUCUUUUGUCAGGAAAGGAUGUGGAACAACCAAUACUGGAAAUGUUGCUCGCAAAUUUUUUAAUAACCCCAUUGUGACAGGGAGAAUUUUAAACUUGGAUAUCAGAAUGAUUAAGUUGUUUCGAGAUUUACUCAUUGAUAUAAACAGAACAACUACAAGACCGGAUAUAAAGGUUUUCAAACAGAAAUCUGAACAUCUAUUUGCACUCAUAACUAAUAAUAAAUUUUUAAAAACCAUACCUAUGUCACAAUCUGUGCAUAGAGUGAUAGUUCAUGGUACUUCUUUUAUAAGGUAUUUUAAGUAUCCGAUAGGUUCUUUGUCUGAGAGUGCUAUUGAAGCCAGAAAUAAGGAAAACAAAACUGCUCGAAUUGGUCAUGCUCGUUUAACCUCUUUUGCAGAAAACACUAGGGAUACAGCUAAUUAUUUGUUUAUGACAUCUGAUAUGUACCUCUUUUGCAAAAAAAAUAAAAUGGAUAAAAAAAGAGUGAAAACAAAAUAGUUUAAGAAAGCAAAGUGACAGUUCUUCUGAUAACUGCUUAAAAUAAAGGAAGUAAGACCAUGAAGAAUCAUACUGAUGAGCUGUUCUGCGUUGAGUUUUUAAAAAACGGCUAUUUUCAUAGCCACAAGUUAUUAAAAACAUCUAUUAGAAUAGAAUGUUGAGAAACUGUAAAAGAAUGCAAAGAGCCAAGUAUCAUAUGAUAGCA